CCUGGGAAGUCCUAAGAUAAACUCACAUCGGAGAUGAAGAGAGUGACACAUGAAGUUUAACAAUUUGCACAAGGAGGACAUUGCUCAUUCAUCAUACAGAGAUGAUCCAUAGAAGGAGACAAAGUACAUAAACAAGAUACACAACCACUACGAAAGGAAAGCUUCCACAAGGUGAUACUAUACCAUCACUCUUCAAGUAAGGUAACAUCUUAAGAUAUCUGACUAUCACUUUUAUAAGCUUCUCCUUGGUUCUGGCAUUCACAUAAAUAAAGAGACAAACAUGUAUGAUUUAUAACUCCAAAUUAACCAACCCCGCUGAUUCAGCAUGUUUAGUCCCUUAAUCUUUGAUCCCCACACUCCUAGUCAUAUGAGCUAAAAUGUUGCACAUUUAAUCUUUGGGAAGAUAUAAAGAAAAAGACAUAUACAUAGAUAGAUUAUCUUUCCAUAAGGUUAAGCGAUCUGAUCUGACAAAUGUUUUAAAUACUAUACUUAUGAUCUUAUUAUCCAUCACCUUUGUCUUGUUCACUAUGCUUAAGGUUAGAGAAGAACAAAUACACUUUUGGUUCUGUUGGUGUUUUCCACCAACAGGGCCCAUGCACUUGAUCUCUGCCUUGUCUCUAUGAGCAGGACACAUUUUGAGAAACAUGGAGGAGUUUUACAACUCCCAGAUUCCACCAAGUGAAGGACCUGGAUCUACGAGCAUAAAUAUACUGAGCAAGAUACUGCCAACGCCGCACUACGAACUACUAGGCAAAUGAAGAACAUGGGUGACACCGUAUUAAGAGGUGCAGACGUCAGGGUCCACACCUGAAUCAAAUGACGCACCUGAAGAAUGAACACGGUGAGAAGUCUUGUUUAGAAGACUUAAAACAUUGAAUCCUCGCCAAAAGGUAAAAUCGGUAGUUAUCCAUAUUUAUCCUUUCUGCAUUCCCUUUUCCCUUUAAUUACUUACUUUCCUUAAAUAGCCUAUUAGUUAAUCAUGCUAUCUUGAAAAGAAAAUAAAAAUGUUAAAAAAUACUAAGCCCCAUGUGAGUAUGCUCGUGGCAUGAAACCCAUAAGUACAUUCACUGUGGUGGCGUAAAAAUAAAAUAAAUAUAUUCUUGUCCUAUAGAAAUGAAAAUAUAAAAAUAAAUUUAUGAUCCUACCAAAGAGAGUAAUAUUUAUUAGAGGAAGCUCAACAUGAUAAAUUCAAAGAGAUUUUAUGCUAACACUUAACCAGUCCCACAAAAGCUUUGUUGUCUAUUUGAGCUCCACAUAAUUCAAGGAUCAAAGAAGACUAGCAGACGGAGGACAUUCUAAUCGCGGUCAGGGUGCUGUCGACAUUCAAAUAAACCUCAGCCACCUGCUAGCUACAUCAAAAGAAAUUACGUCAAAAUCCAGCUUGGGGGAGAGCAACCCCAUUUAUCUAGCUAAGUAUUUCUAUCUACGUUAUAAUUAUACUUUGUUAAAUUAAUAAAAAGAUGCAUAAUCAUAAAAACCCAAAUAAAGAUUUUAUGCUUAUAUAUAUAUAUCUAUCUUUUCUUAGUUUGCUAAAUAAAUAAAUAAAUAAAGUUUGCUAUGAACCCUCAUGAUAAGCUCUCACAUGGAAAUGAUGAAUAGUUGCUCUGCCCUGACUAGUUCUCAAAAGUGAAAUCUCUCUCAAGUUUAGGUAUGACUGUUAUGAAUUAUGAUUUGCUCUAAACCUGAACUUGUGGGAAGAGUACUUGAUCUAAAGUCUAAGUCGUUAACGGAUAUGAUAUUGGAAGGUUGAGCUGCUGUUUAUCUAUUCCUAGAGAUGCUAGAAUUCUGGAAAAUUUUAUCUUUGAAAAUCUUUAAAAUGUUGCAUGGUGAGUUCCUGUAUGAUGAGAGUUUAAAAUCCUACCACAACCACAUAUACAUGCUUAUUAGACUAUGAACCAUACAUUUACUUUUUACUGCUUAUGAGCAUUGAGUGUGGUCAAUCUAUGUAGACCCUUAGGAGCUUGUCAUGCGGUUAAAAUCAAGAUCCACUUGCACGAUCACUCAUAUAUGCUGCUUCUACUUCGGAAGUACGCAUCCACAUACAUCCACUCAUUUCUAUCACCAAACUCACCCAAAAUUAUUCUACUCCUAUCCAGGAGAGAAUAGCCAAAAACAAUUAUCCUAUCCCUGUUUUUCCCUGUGAAAUAAAUGCUCGAGCUAUUUUGGUUACUACCACUUGCUACAUUAUUCCAGGAGGGUGAGUGCUCUGAGAAAAAAAGAGAAGAAAAAUACGAGGAAAUAAAAAGGGGUAAGUGCCUGGAACCUCGAAAGAAAAAAAGAAAAAGUGAGACGAGAGGUAAAAAUGGACAAGUGUCCGACAGUAGAAUUAGGGGUACAAGAUACCCACCUAAGAGAUAAAAAAAGAAGAGAGAAAAUAUAGAACAUCUCAUUCCCUUCGAAAAGCUUCAAAGUGCAAGAAAGGUAUGUAUCCCCUCAAAAGAGCAAAAGUAGAAUUAGACUUUCACCAUUAUUUUCACCAUUAUCACCAUCAUCACCAUACACCAUUCAUCUGCCACACAUGCACAUCUUGAUUUGACUCAUUGACUUGUUUCUCUGGAUCCAUGGUUUGACUAUGCAAUAAAUGUCUUGUAAGUAUGUAUUAGCUGUCUCCCACCUAUGAUCUCCAGAUAUCAAAACUUUGUUAGAGUAGGGUGAGAGAGAAGGCAAUAUCACUAUGCCUCAUACCAAAAAUAUCACAUGCUUUGAGAGAAGGCAUAUAUCAUCACUGCCUUGGUAAGGAUCUAGAAAUACCACAAAAGAGAGAAUUGAGAGAGUCAUACAAGGAAUCUCUGAGUUUUAUUUGAAAAUCUGCAAAAAACUCCAGAGCGAUAGUUGAUCAAAGAACAAGAGACAUGGUGCUUGACUUGAGCGUUCUAUCUUUUAACUGCUCAAGACACAAGUGAUGGUUGCAAGCCCCAUGGUGGAAGGUAAUAUGAGUAAGUUUAAAUCUUAACAGUUUACCCUAACCUAGAGAUGAGAUCUUGUUUAAAUGCAUGUGUACCUUUAAGGCAUAAAACCACUGCAGAAACUUUUGAGUCCAUCCUUGCUUAGGGAUGAGCAAGAGGUAAGCUUGGGGGAGUUGUUGACGGUCCUUAAGUACCAAAUAUAAUCAGCAAAUAAACAAAGAAAAGGAUCCAAAUACAACCAACAUCUAAACUUAGGGUUUUAUCUGACAUAAUUCCACAAGUUUUGGUGUUUGUCUAUUUCUGCAGGGGGUUAUCAGGAAAUAUGGAGAGAAGGCCCACACGUCGGGUUUACAUAGAGAUAUUAACAUGCCGCACAAUUUUCUAUCAUCGAGAAGACUCCAGAAGCCACGAGAACAAAGUGGAAGCCGAGAGGGCUCAGGGACAGGGCGCCCACCCUCCCCACUUGGGCGCCCGCCCAGCUACAGAGUUGGAUCAGGACUCUCUUUCGGGAUGAUGUUCCACCGACCUAAAGGAUCAAGGAUAACCGUUCAAGCAAUGUCGGUUUGAUCCAACGGCCCAGGUUCACUUGAGGGGACUAUAUAACUAGACCCCCUAGCCCCUAGAGGAGGCACCCCUUGAUCAUUAUUCAUUAUUCAUAGACAGAGCAAAAGCUAGGGUUUAGAGAUGAGUGCUCUCCUCUCUUCUCUAAACUAGAGUAGAUCUAGAUAGUAGCGAGAUGGAGAGCGAAGGAGAAUUAGAGGAGAGGCCGGCCUGUCGGUUCUUCCUCCGGUUGUACUUCGUCAUGAUCAAGCUCUAAUCAAGCUUGCUCAUGGGAUGACUCUGGUAAUCUACUUCUAAUUCAUUAUGCAAUUACUAAUCAUGUAUGUUCUGGUUCACAACUCUUUUGACUACUUCAAAUCUAUAGGACCCUAUAGGUUAGAGUUGUGUAUAGGUGUAAGCGUGGUGCUUAGACCUAGAUUACUUGUGAAUAUCCCCUGUCUAGCUAGAUCGUGUGGUAGGCCGCGUAGGUGACAGUUACGUUGGUCCUCUGUAGUCCACCUCUUGUUAGCAGGACGGGUAGGGUUUAUCGGCCUUUGGAUAAGCAUCCUUUGUGGUGUAACCUUAUCACGUGGUUCAUCCCAGACAUAGACAUACCCCUUUCAAGUAGAGAAACCAUAGUUAUCCUCUCUAUUCUGCUACCAUCGCCCAUAUACUAGAAUUGCUCUACUCUCUAUUCCCAUAUUAUCACCUAUUGUUAUCUUACCUUUAAUAUUGUUCUUAUUCAAUUCUACCAUCUUUCCUAUUUACACCUAUCUAUCUAUCUUGGUUAUGUUAGAGCGUAGUUGGUUCUCCCGUUUCCCUGUGGAUACGAUAAAACCUUUAACCGGGUAAAAGCUUCAACGGUAUCCGUGCGCUUGCGGAUUAUCUGUGUGCGUAUAAAUACCAUAUUACACUCUAGUGCCAUGCUGGGGAUGACAACCUAGUAUUCAAGUGGUGUUAGCAAGUGUCAACACCGGCGACAUUCGAAGCCCUCAUGAACGACGUCCUGCGCCCUUUCCUUCGUCGGUUUGUGCUUGUGUUUUUUGACGAUAUUUUGAUCUAUAGUACUUCGUUGGCCGACCACCUUUGACACCUCCAUGCUGUCCUCACCGUGCUGCAGCAGCACCAGCUGUUCGUCAAACGCUCCAAGUGCGCCUUCGGGGUGUCGUCCAUCUCCUACCUCGGCCACAUCAUCUCCGAGGAGGGCGUGGCCAUGGACUCCGCCAAGGUGCAGGCGGUGCCUGACUGGCCGCAGCCCCGUUCGGCGCGUGCUGUGCGGGGAUUCCUGGGCUUGGUGGGGAACUACUGCAAGUUUGUCCUGGACUACGGCACCAUUGCCGCCCCGCUGACCGCGUUGUUUAAGAAGCAUGGCUUCGUGUGGACCGACGACGCAGCCGCGGCUUUCCAGGCGCUCAAGGGCGCCAUCACCUCGGCACCGGUGCUGGCCCUCCCCAACUUUCAGCAGGAGUUUAUCGUCGAGUGCGACACCUAGACGCACGGUUUCAGCACGGUGCUGCUCCAGGACAAGCACCCCAUCGCCUUCUUCAGCCGCCCCGUCGCUCCUCGCCAUCGUUCGCUCGCUGCAUACGAGCGCGAACUCAUCGGGCUGGUGCACGCCAUUCGUCACUGGAGGCCAUACUUGUGGGGGUGGCGUUUCACGGUUCGGACGGACCACUACAGCUUGAAGUUCCUCCUCGACCAACGCCUCUCCACGAUCCCGCAGCACCACUGGGUCGGCAAGCUCGUAGGCUACGACUUCUUGGUGGAGUACAAGCCAGACGCUCAGAACACUGUCGCCGACGCACUGUCCAGGCAUGACACUCCAGAGGCCUUGGUUAUAUAGUCUUUUCAAGUGAAUUUGGACUGUCAGAUCAAACCGACAUUGAUUGUAUGGUUUAGAUUGAUCCUUUAGGUCGGUGGAGUUUAGACCCGAAACAGAGUCCUGAUUGGAGUCCAACCCAGGGCGGGCGCCUAGGGCAGGAGGGCGGGCGCCCUGCCUCUGGCCCCGUUCAGCCUCCGCUUUCUUCCCGUGGCUUCUGCAGUCUUUUAGAUUGAGGAAAAUUGCACGGCACAUAAUUAUCUCGUUGUAAACAUGACAUGUGGGCCUUCUCUCCAUAUUCUCUGAUAACCUCCUGCAGAAAUAGAUAAACACCAAAGCUCGUCGAAUUCUGUUAGAUAAAACCCUAAUUCUAGAUGUUUGUUUCAUAUUGAUCCUUUUUCAUGUUUAUUUGAUUAUUAAUUUUAGUACUUAAGGACCGUCAACACCCACCGCCUUUUGUAGAGGCGGUGCAUGCGAAGCCCUAGCGCGGUUCCCGGCUGCAUUUUGCAGUUUACCCCCUCCCAAACCGACCUUCCACACCUACAUAAGGAGGGGGAGAGGGCCUCUCAUUCAUCAUCAUUCAAUCCAUUCAAGCUUCAAGUCCACAAGAAUAAAGAGAGAUACAAGAGUAGUAGUAGAGAGGCGGAGCUUCCACUCAUAUCCUUAGCCUCUAGUUAGGAAUAGAAUAGGAGAGUGAGUUAGAGUGUAGAGUAAGAGAAGUAGCAAGCACCCGGUCCGUUCCCCUAGUUGCAUUGGGCGGAAGGGCCGAAGUGCUGCCGGCUUCCCGAGCUGUACCUCUACAACCUAGAAUACCAUAUUGGGGUAAGCAAAGGUUGUAUUCUUCUUUUGUUCUAAGAAGUUAUUGAGUAAUCGUUAUCAUGUUUUUCUAAUCUUGUGGGUUCGUUGUCUAUCUCUCGGUAGACACUCUAGUAGAGGGACUCUUGCUGGCUUGCGGGAGGACCUGCGCAACGCUAGAGUAGUAGCUAAUAACGUAGACAUGGUGUCUAGGUUAGAGGUUACCCUCGUUUGCCUUGUAUCCCACGGUUGAGAGGUCAGCAGUAGGUGGUGACAGCCCUGUUUGUCCUUAGUUUCCCCCACGUCCGGAUACGGCGUAGAGCUACACGCCGGUAUUACCUGGCAGACCAGGUACGCUCCGGUGCCCAAAGUAAGAUUAGAAAAGCACGUUGCCUUGCACAAAACUCCUACCAUUAGGAGAACCUCACUACCUAAGUCAUCCCUCUCACUUUACUCUAGGGUACACUUAGUUUAAGUCUCAAAACACCUCCGUUCCCUGUGAAAUCUCGAUACCCUGAAUACCACCGAGUGAUGUGCUACAACGGUACUUCCGUGCGCUUGCGGAUAAUUGGCUGCAUCGCUAAGAAAUACCAACAAGCAUUUCUGGCGCCGUUGCCGGGGAAUGGUUGUCGUUUUUUAGUCGAACCUAGUUCCCCGUGUAUCAUCUCCCAUUUUUAUCUAAAUAUAUAUAUAUAUAUAUAUAUAUAAAUUAUAAAAAAAAUACUAUGGAGCCAAACACACUUUACCAACUAUCUGCUCCUAAGGGCGAGCUCGUAGAAGCACCACAAUCGUCAAAGCCAAUCACAACUUCAAGUUAUGAGCUCCAUCCUGGCUUUAUAGCCAUGGUUCGGGAACAAACCUUCUCAGGCCUAGAUUAUGAAAAUCCAUGUCAUCAUUUAAGGGAGUUUGAGCAACUCUUUGCAUGCCUAACAAUUUCGGGUAUGUCGCAAGAAACCCUUAGGUGGAAAUUGUUUCCGUUUUCUCUUGAAGAGAAGGCGAAACAAUGGUACGCCCAUAACGUAGGAAAGGUGAAAGGAGAUUAGGAAGAAUUGAGGAAUAGAUUCUGUCUCACGUUCUUCCCUAUAUCUCGUGUCACUGCCCUACGACAAGAGAUUCUCAGCUUCCAACGACAAGAGAAGGAAACCAUAGGUGCAGCCUGGGAUAGAUUUUUAAUUCUUACCCGUUUUGGCCCAGACUUGUCAAUCCCUAGCCACGUGUUGUUACAACAUUUUUGGCUAGGGCUACACAAGGUGUCUGCCCUACAAUUAGACAUAGCUGCCGGAGGGUCGUUUAACCACAAGACCACAGCAGAAGGAGAAGCCUUACUAGACCUCAUUCUAGAGAACACUCCUUCGCUAGAACCUCUCCGCGUAGAGCCCGAACCUGAAAUAGAGGAAGUCUCAAUAGCCUCCACUGACAAUACACCUAUAGAGACAUCUCCCACCAUAUCAGGACCCCCGAAGGAAGAUUUUCAACCUUCAGAUCUCCCGUUCUUCGAGGAUGAUCUUUUUAAAGAUUUCGGAAACACCUCGAAGUACUCAUGUCAAAGAAAGCCGCAAGUUGCCACUGCUAAUGAUCAGCUAGAUGAGGAUUUUAUAAAACAUUCAAUUAAUGAACUCUCAGCUAUCAUGAGUCAGAAAUGGACCAAAGAAACAGUUAUCUUUUGAUCCACUUCAGAUUAAUACUCCAUCUUCGUCCAUUCAGUGCAAAAUUUGCCGUAGCUGGCAAGAAGCAUUGUAUAAUCCACUUGUCGGGGCCAAUUUAAUGUCGAAAUCUUUUAUGCUCACCCAUCUAGGGUCUGAACCACUGGCCCCGACAGAGAAAACUCUCAGGGUAGCCCCGCGUACGGAAUUGAAAAGUUGUGGGAUUCUCCACCAAACCCAUGUACGACUUGAUAACAUCAGAACGAGUCUUCACUUUUAUUUCUUUGACAUUAAAAGUUUUGACAUCCUUAUAGGCCACCCUAUAGAGCUUUUAACCCAUGAACUGCCAGCUACAGGGGCAAUGAACGUAAAAUUGGGAAGAGACACUUUUUCCAUUCCAAUCACUCGAGCUAAAAACUCAGUGACCGACUCUCGACCCGACCUACCUUUGCCCAAGGAGGUGAUGGCUGUUUCACCUUUUGAAACACCCGAAUCGUCCUUAGAUAAGGACGCCGAAAGCUUCAAUCGAGAAGAGGACGAGUUAGGAGAAACCAUAGAACUCCCCGAGGAUGAAACACCACCAAAACCUCCAGUUGAGCUUAAACCCUUGCCCGCUGGGCUACGUUAUGCCUUUCUAAACGGCAACAAAGAAACACCCGUAAUUAUUAGCGAUAGGCUAUCUGAUGAGGAGUCGAACAAACUCAUUGCCGUCUUAGAAAAACAUAGCACAACCUUUGGGUAUUACUUGCAAGACCUCAAGGGAAUAAGCCCAACACUCUGCACACAUCGCAUACCUACGGACCCUGAGCUUACACCUUCUCGUGAACCCCAACGUAGGCUAAACAACGCGAUGCGUGAAGUCAUGAAAAAGGAAGUUCUCAAACUUUUUCACACUGGGAUUAUUUAUCUCGUACCACACAGUGACUGGGUCAGUCCCGUCCAAGUGGUUCCAAAGAAGGGAGGCAUGACGGUCGUUAAAAACGAUAAAGAUGAGUUAUUCCCCCAACGACCACAGACAGGGUGGAGAAUGUGUAUCGAUUAUCGAAAACUUAACAAGGCAACAAAGAAAGAUCAUUUCCCACUGCCCUUCAUUGACGAAAUGUUAGAGCGGCUGGCGAAACAUUCUUUCUUUUGUUUUCUUGACGGGUAUUCGGGUUAUCAUCAGAUCCCUAUCCACCACGAUGAUCAAAGCAAAACCACGUUCACAUGCCCGUAUGGAACGUUUGCUUAUAGACGCAUGUCCUUCGGACUAUGCAAUGCACCCGCCUCCUUUCAAAGGUGCAUGAUGUCUAUCUUUUCUGACAUGAUCAAGGAAAUUAUGGAAGUUUUCAUGGACAAUUUUUCAGUCUAUGGAAAAACUUUUGAUCAUUGUCUAGAAAACUUAAACAAAGUGUUGCAAAGAUGCCGUGAUAAAGACCUGGUACUUAAUUGGGAAAAGUGCCAUUUCAUGGUCAGAGGAGGCAUCGUUCUUGGACACCUAGUUUCUGAGAGGGGAAUCGAGGUAGACAAGGCCAAAAUUGAAGUAAUAGAGGGUCUACCUCCUCCAGUGAACGUAAAAGGGAUCCGAAGUUUCUUAGGCCACGCUAGUUUCUAUAGAAGGUUUAUAAAAAACUUUUCACAAAUUGCAAGGCCUCUUACAAAUCUUUUAGCCAAAGAAACACCCUUUGAGUUCACCGAUGAGUGUCUCACUGCCUUUCAUACUUUAAAGAAGGCACUCAUCUCAGCACCAAUCAUCCAACCCCCGGAUUGGUCGCUACCGUUUGAGAUAAUGUGUGAUGCUAGUGACUUUGCUGUCGAGGCAGUCUUAGGUCAAACAAAAGAUAAACAGCAUCUUGCAAUUGCUUAUGCUAGCAAAACUAUGACAGGAGCUCAGUUAAAUUAUGCUACCACAGAAAAAGAGCUCCUUGCCGUAAUUUUCGCUAUUGAUAAAUUCAGAUCUUACUUAGUGGGAGCAAAAAUAAUUGUUUAUACUGAUCAUGCUGCUCUAAAAUACUUGCUCACUAAGAGAGAUGCAAAACCUUGCCUCAUAAGAUGGAUCUUGUUGUUACAAGAAUUUGAUUUAGAAAUAAAAGAUAAAAAGGGUAUAGAAAAUACUGUGGCAGACCAUCUUUCGCGUAUGCAAGUCACUAACAUGCAGGAACUACCCAUUAAUGACUUCAUGCGCGACAACAUGCUGUUAAGAGUGACUGACCUGAACCCGUGGUACGCCACCAUCGUCAACUACAUGGUCACGGGUUACGUACCACCAGACGAAAGCAGGAAGAAGCUGCAAGUUGAGAGCCGCCGACAUCUUUGGGAUGACCCAUACUUGUAUCGGGUCUGUUCCAACGGGCUUUUGAGGGAGUGUGUACCACCAACCGAAGGAGAGAAAAUCAUCGAACAAUGCCACUCUGCACCAUACGGAGGCCACUAUGGAGCCUUCCGCACUCAAGCCAAAAUCUGGCAGUGCGGAUUCUUCUGGUCGACGAUGUAUGAGGACACGAAGGACUUCAUCCGAAGAUGCCGGAAGUGUUAGUUUCAAGGCAACAUCACUGCUCGCAAUGAAAUGCCCCUCCAUUACAACCUACCGGUCGAAGUAUUUGAUGUAUGGGGCAUUGACUUCAUGGGUCCAUUCCAGAAGUCCUAAGAUUGACUUCAUGGUUGCUGUGGACUAUGUGUCCAAGUGGGUAGAAGCUCUACCAUGCCGAGCUGCUGACUCAAAGCACGCACGGAAGAUGUUUCAUGAAGUGAUCUUUCCUCAGUUCGGAACACCCAGGAUGGUUGUGAGUGAUGGGGGAUCACACUUAAUUGACAGAACAUUCAGAAACUUCCUGCGUGAGCUUGGAGCAAAGCACAACAUAGCUACCCCGUACCACCCUCAAACAAGCGGUCAAGCGAAAACCUCAAACAAGAAAAUCAAGAACAUCCUGCAGAAAACAGUCAACGAAAUGGGGAAGGGUUGGAAGAGCAAGUUACCAGAUGCCCUCUGGGCAUAUCGGACGGCCUAUAAAACCCCCAUAGGCAUGUCACCAUUCCAAAUGGUAUAUGGCAAAGCAUGCCAUCUCCUGGUUGAGCACGAGCACCGAGCUUACUAGGCGAUCAAGAACUGGAAUAUGGACUUCAAGCUAGCUGGCAGGAACCGACAGAAACAGAUAGCUGAGCUUGAAGAAUUGCGAGAAAAAGCUUACCAUAGUGCCAAGAUAUACAAGGAAAGAACAAAGAAAUGGCACGAUCACCGAAUCAAACCCAAGGAGUUUAGAAAAGGCGACCGCGUUCUACUCUUCAACUCCAAGGUAUGACUUUUCGGUGUAGGAAAACUUCAGAGUAAGUGGAAAGGACCAUACACCAUCAUCGAGACCUCCGAGCAUGGCGCGAUCACCAUAGCAGAUGACGAAGGUAAUAUCACUAAGGUAAAUGGUCAACGCUUAAAAGUUUUCCUGGAACCCAAUUUUGAAAAGGAAAUUGAAACAAUACAUUUGAUUAAUUGGGUUUAAAUUGUAAAAAAAAUAUAAUAAUAAUAAUAAUAUAAAUAAAAUAUUUCAAUUAAUUCUGCUUAGUUUUGAAUUACCAAAAAUAAAAAUAUGAUUUCUAAAAAGAAUCUUUAGUUUUUAGCUUUUACCUUUCAAUAAAACCCUUGUUUCUCUAAAAAAUAUCUAGGAAGCGUAGCAAAACGUAGGCAGAUUCAAAAUUUGAAAAGUGGGACGAGUGCGCACGCCAAAAUUCAGGGCCAACGGACGUGCCCAGGGGUCGGCCGCCCCUGGCCUGACACGUCUACGGCCCGAUCUUUUCCAGCGUCUAUCUCUUCGUCAUUCCUAUCCUUAUCUGCAUGGAAAUUCAAAUUUGCCGCUCGUGAUCUCACCAGGGAGGGCCUUCUUCCUAUUUAAACACCCCCUAACCCCUCUCUAAGCCAUAGCCAUUAGUGCUUUCCAAGUUUACAUCUUCACAAACCACCUCUAUCAAGAGUAGCGCUUAGAGCAUAGGUAGCCACGCGCUAGCGCUGUUCGUGGAGUCGGGAGGAUCCUUCGACGCCGAAGGAGAAUUCUCUGAGGCGAACGUGAGGGAGGCGUUUGGUGUGGAAGAAGGAGAGAUGCUGACGUACCCUCUUGCCAUCAUACCCCCGUCAAGCAUCACGAGCGAAGGAACGAGCCUACGUUCCACGGCUCGCACGAAGGUGGCGGCGCACAAGACGGCGGCACCGAGGAAGAUGGCGCGCGACGAUGCGCCGCCGACGACGACGAACAAGAAGAAGGCGCCUGUAGAUCCAUAUGUUGUAACGCCUUCGGGCAGUUUAGACUCUAGGUUCUUGUCUUCGGGAUCCACUGCGCGCUCCGACCCGUCCUACACAGUGGUGGGAAUUAGGAAACCCAGUGGAGGAUGCGAGAAGGGCCUCAUGCGUAAGCCGCCUCUCGCGCCACCCACACCUGCGCCCGCGCCUAAGACAGCCGCGACCACCUCGUCCGCCCCCUUGCGUAUCAAACGCGUAAACCCCGCUACAGGCGGGCGAUCAAACCGGCUGCCAAGUGACUCUAAUCUGCCUUCUGCUGCCCCUCGCGUCCCAAAAUGCAAGCACGAAAAUCCCAUCCUUAGGGGGCAGCCACACGGAUUUCUUACCGAUUCAGAUAAUGAGUCGAAGCGGGAAAGCGCACGCACUAUCGCCGCGCUUAGAACUUCCGUGCAGUCACUACAUGGUGUAGUGGAAGAGCUUAAAGGCGAACUAGCUAACACCCGCCUGAAAUAUAUAGAGCUUAUGGACAACUUAGCCGCUGUACAAUUCGGUCUAACCAACCGGCUUGUCAAGGUGGCUCGGGCUGCGGGUGUAGAGCAUGUUCUAGACACAAACCGCAUCUAGUUUAAUUUUGCUUAGCCGAGUAAUUUAUUUUCCCUUUUAUUUAGAUUUCCUUCAUUUACUUUGUAAUCAAUGUCUCGGCUUAUAUUGAAUAAUAAAGAAGUCCUUUGUUCGAAUUAUUUUGUCUCCACUUGUUGUUGUAUUAUUUUUGUCUACUUGAGAAAAAUCAAAGAACAGGUAAAAAAACAAGUGUGGGGGAGGAAUCGCCAUCAAGGUAAUCUUACAUAGAAAAAAUUUCAGAAUUAUUUUUAUUCCUCCUAUGACAAUUUAAAUCGGAUUUAUAUGAUAAAAAUAUUGCUAAUAAAAUAAAAAGAUAAAAAAAUAAAUUAAUACUCCAUUUCUGCUCUGCCUUUGAAAUUAAACAUGCAUACUCUUUAUUCCUCGCCAAAAGCGUACCAUUUAUGGGCAACUUUUUAUAAGAACCCCGUUGCUUCUAAGUAAUUGAGAUUUGCGAUAUAGUAGGAUAAUUUGAAACUUGCUCACUUAUGCAAUGAACUUGGGGAUUUAUUUGAUAAAAUUAAAAUUGCAAAAAGUCUGCUCUUCAAUGAUAGAUAAUUACCUAACAAGGCCAAAUAUAUUACUCUUGAUAAAAAUUCUACAAAUAGCUGCUUAUUUGUUUUGAGUUGUGUGAAGUCUUGUUGACCCUUGUUAAGAGAUUUAUCAUGCUCUCAAGAUCAAGAUCACGUACACUCCAGUUACAUAUAUAUGCCGCUUCUACACUGGGAGUGCGCAAAAACAUGCCUUACAUGUGCACCAUACAAACACUCCAUGUUUUAAAGAAUGAUCUCUCUAGUGCAUCUUAGAUAAAGACAUGGGCUAUGCAAAUAUAUAUAUAUAUAUAUAUAUAUAUAUAUAUAUAUAAAGAGCAGAAAAAAAUGGGCAAGUGCCCGCCGUAGAAUUAGGGGUAUAAAAAUACCCACCUGAAAAAAAAAUGAGCACAUGAAGGCUCACAAGAAAAUAAAAGAGUUAUGAUAGCCAUGUCUAGAAAUACUUGAUGAGAUCAUAUCAACCAACGGAGUUGUUUAUACCAUAUACCACACACUUGCACAUCUUGAUCUAAGGGUAUGACACUUCUCUUCUUGGAUCCGAGAUUUUACUCGACAAUACAUACAAGGUAAGUAUGCAUUCUGCUUGGUCCAUACCCAAAACUCCAAAUACAGCUUAUAGAGGUAGGACAAAUCAAGAGGUACUUUUACCUUGGUAAGGAACCAGAAACAUUCUCGAGUGAUUUGAGAGUAUCAUCUAAAGAGCAAGACUAUUUUUAUUCAAAAAGGUAAAAACCCAAGUUUUGAGCAAAGUUGAGUAAGAAGAUUUGAAUCCUAAUUGUUUUGUUUUUCAAUUACUCAAGAAGUUUUGGUAGACACUCUAAAUGCUCAUAAGUUCAGGUGAGGCUCGGAAUAGUUUGUAUGCAGGUUCAUUAUCAGGAGAAGUGGAACCAUCUUAGCCCAAAAACAUAAGCUUUACUCGAGGACGAGCAAAGGGCUAAGUGUGGGGGAGUUUGUUGGUGUUUCUUAAAAUACACUUUUCAUACCGCCAACAUGCAUACAAACUCUAUAAAAUAUCACCAAACAUUAGAAAUAGGGCUUUUCAUGCUAACCAAAUUCCACAGUUUUGGUGAACACAUGUGUUUGUAGGACACUAGGGUUUGAGCCGCCAAAAUCAAAGGAUUGAAGGCACAUUUAAUUCAAAUACAGAAGUGCAUCCAAAUGCAAUUGGAUUCAAACUCAGAAGGCCGAGGAGCAUCGUCUAGGCUUUGGGCCUGGGCCAAUGGAGCCAGCCAGGGGGCGGCCGCCCCCUAGGGUCGGCCGACCCCGGCCUGGCCCAGCUCCCCACCGCCUUUUGCAGAGGCGGUGCAUGCGAAGCCCUAGCGCGGUUCCUGGCUGCAUUUUGCAGUUUACCCCCUCCCAAACCGACCUUCCACACCUAUAUAGGGAGAGGGAGAGGGCCUCUCAUUCAUCAUCAUUCAAUCCAUUCAAGCUUCAAGUCCACAAGAAUAAAGAGAGAUACAAGAGUAGUAGUAGAGAGGUGGAGCUUCCACUCAUAUCCUUAGCCUCUAGUUAGGAAUAGAAUAGGAGAGUGAGUUAGAGUGUAGAGUAAGAGAAGUAGCAAGCACCCGGUCCGUUCCGCUAGUUGCACUGGGCGGAAGGGCCGAAGUGCUGCCCGCUUCCCAAGCUGUACCUCUACAACCUCGAAUACCAUAUUGGGGUAAGCAAAGGUUGUAUUCUUCUUUUCUUCUAAGAAGUUAUUUAGUAAUCGUUAUCGUGUUUUUAUAGUCUUGCGGGUUCGUUGUCUAUCUCUCAGUAGAUACUCUAGUAGAGGGACUCUUGCUGGCUGGCGGGAGGACCUGCGCAACGCUAGAGUAGUAGCUAAUAACGUCGACGUGCUGUCUAGGUUAGAGGUUACCCUCGCUUGCCUCGUAUCCCACGUUUGAGAGGUCGGCAGUAGGUGGUGACAGCCUUGUUUGUCCUUAGUUUCCCCCACGUCCGGAUACGGCGUAGAGCUACACGCCGGUAUUACCUAGCAGACCAGGUACGCUCCGGUGCCCAAAGUAAGAUUAGAAAAGCAGGUUGCCUUGCACAAAACUUCUACCAUUAGGAGAACCUCACUACCUAAGUCAUCCCUCUCACUUUAAUCUAGGGUACACUUAGUUUAAGUCUCAAAACACCUCCGUUCCCUGUGAAAUCUCAAUACCCUGAAUACCACCGGGUGAAGUGCUACAACGGUACUUCCGUGCGCUUGCGGAUAAUUGGCUGCGUCGCUAAGAAAUACCAACACGCAGUCCAUGGUCUCAGACCGAGACCCGGUGUUUACUUCUAUUUUUCUGGAAGGAGCUGAUGAGACUCAUGGGAGUGAAAUUGCACAUGACUACGGUGUUUCAUCCACAGUCCGAUGGCCAAACGGAGGCUGCCAACCACGUCAUUGCCAUGUACCUUCGCUAUUUUUCAGGGAACAGGCCCCAGGACUGGUUGCGGUGGCUGCCGUGGGCGGAAUGCACCUACAACACAGCCUACCAGUCAUCCCUGCGGGAGACACCUUUCCGCGUGGUCUACGGUCGCGAUCUGCUGUCUCUCCGGUCUUAUGAAGCUGGCGAUACUCGGGUCGCUGCAGUGGCCCAAUAGAUGGAAGAACGGAGCAAUUCUUGGCGGACGUCUGGCAUCGGCUGGAACAGGCACAGGUCAUGCAGAAGCGCUACUACGACAAGACACACCGGGCUGUGUCCUAUGCUGUUGGGGAUUGGGUGCUGCUCCGCCUUCGCCAUCGACCUGUGGCCUCCCUGUCCCAAGCGCCGAAGAGCAAGCUGCAGCCCUGCUUCUACGGGCCGUACCGCGUCUCCGAGAUCAUCAACGAGGUGGCUGUGCGCCUCGAGCUACCUCCCCGCGCCAAGCUGCAUGACGUCUUCCACAUCGGCCUCCUCAAGAAAUGGGUUGGCGCGCCCCCGCCUGCGCCUCCACCGCUGCCCACAGUGCACCAUGGCGCCGUCAAACCCGAGCCGGAGCUUGCUGUUCGCGCGAGGGUCGGUCGGGGUGUCCGCCAAGUUCUCGUCCGUUGGAAGGGCGAGCCAGCUGCUUCUGCUACAUGGGAAGACCUCGACUCCUUCGUCGCCAAGUACCCAACGUUCCAGCUCGAGGACGAGCUGGUCGUCGAGGGGGGAGAGAUGUCAUGUACGGUAUCCCGUACUCUAGGAGACGCCGCGCCCGCGACGUACGCAAGGCGACCGAGCGCACGCGGGCCAGGUCCAGCAUGUCGUAGGGGGAAGGUGCCCAACAGACUAGGGGCUAGAUUAGGAAAUAAAAUUAUAAUUAGCCUUAUAUUUAGGAGAGUUUUACUCCAACUAGUAUUCAGCCCUUGGCUAUAUGUACAUGUAAUCAGGACUUUGAUAUAUUAAAAAAAGUAUUGUUACCCUAAUCUCUCUCUCUGCCAACGAUCUCAAGCCCGAGCCGCCGAGAGGGGUAUAACCUCCGCGAUCGGAAGACAAUGGCAGGAGACUACGAACUCCGUAGUCGAGGGCCACCUACCCUAGAUCACCAGGCCCUUGACACAAAGUAUGUGGUAUUUUUGGUAUGAGGCAUAAUGAUAUUGACGUCUCUCUCACCCUAUUCUAAUAUGGUUUUGAUAUCUGGAGCUCAUAGGUGGGAGACAGCAACUAUAUACUUACAAGACAUUUAUUGCAUAGUCAAACCAUGGAUCCAGAGAAACAAGUCAAUAAGUUAAAUCAAGAUGUGCAUGUGUGGCGAGUGAAUGGUGUAUGGUGACGAUGGUGAUAACAAUGGUGAAAGUCUAAUUCUAUUUUUGCUCUUUUAAGGGGAUACAUACCUUUCUUGCACUUUAACGCUUUUUGAGGGGAAUGAGAUGCUCUAUAUUUUGUUUUUCUUUUUCUCUCAGGUUGGUAUCUUGUACCCUAAUUCUACUGUCGAACACUUGUCCAUUUUUACCUCUCGUCUCACUUUUUCUUUUCUUCGAGGUUCCGGGCACUUGCCCCUUUUUAUUUCCUCAUAUCCUCUUUUUUUUUUCUUCUUUUUUUAGAGCACUCAUCUCAUGAAAUAAUAUAGCAAGUGGUAGUAACCAAGAUAACUCGAGCAUUUAUUUCACAGGGAAAAAUAGAAAUAGGAUAAUCUUUUUGGCUAUUCUCUCCAGGAUUAGGAGUAGAAUACUUUUGGAUGGCUCUAGAGAUGGAAAUGAGUGGAUAUAUGUGGAUGUGUACUUCCGGAGUAGAAGUGAGUGACGUGCAAGUGAAUCUUGAUUUUAACCACAUGACAAGCUCCUAAGGGUCUACACAGCUUGACCACACUCAAUGCUCAUAAGCAGUAAAAAGUAAAUGUGUGGCUCAAAGUCUAAUAAGCAUGUAUAUAAGGCUGUGGUAGGAUUUUAAACUCUCAUCAUACAGGAACUCAUCAUGCAACAUUUUAAAUAUUUUCAAAGAAAAUUCUCCAGAAUUCUAGCAUCUCUAGGAAUAGAUAAACAGCAGCUCAACCUUCCCAUAUCAUAUCCGUUAACGACUUAGACUUUAGAUCAAGUACUUUUCCCACAAGUUUAGAUUUAGAGCAGGUUUAAAUUAUAACAGUUAUACCUAAACUUGAGAGAGAUUUUAAUUUUAAGAACUAGUCAUGGCAGAGCAACUAUUCAUCAUUUCCAUGUGAGAGUUUAUCAUGAGGGUUCAUAGCAAACUUUAUUUAUUUAUUUAUUUAGCAAACUAAGCAAAGAUAUAUAUAAAAGCACAAAAUCUUUAUUUGAGUUUUUAUGAUUAUGCAUCUUUUUUUUAUUUGAGUAAAGUAUAAACGCAAGUAGAAACACUUAGCUGGAUAAAUGGGGGUGCUCUCCCCCAAGCUGGAUUUUGACGUAAUUUCUUCUGAUGUAGCUAGCAGGCGGCAGAGCUGUAUUUGAAUGUCGGCAGCACCCUGAUAGCGAUUAGGAUGUCCUCCGUCUCCUAGUCUUCUUUGAUCCUUGAAUUCUGUGGAGCUCAAAUAGACAACAAAGCUUUAUGGAACUGAUUAGGUGUUAGCAUAAAUAUCUAGCCUUUAUCAUGUUGAGACUCGUCAAUAAAUGUUAUUUAUUUAGAAGGAUCAUGCACUUAUUAUUUUUAUAUUUUUAUUGUAAGAUGAAAACAUAUUUAUUUAUGCGACCACAGUGAAUGUACCUAUGGGUUUUAUGCCAUGAGCAUACUCACAUGGGGCUUACUAUUUCUAACAUUUUUAUUUUCUUUUCAAGAUGAUAUGAACCUGAUUAACUAAGCAAACUAUUUUAAAUAAUUGAAAGGAAAAGGAUAACUACCAAGUUUACCUCUUGGCAAGGCGUUCGGUGUUUUUAAGUCCUCCGAACGGGACUCUCCGUUUUCUCAAUCGUCUUGGGAUUAACUAGAUGGCGUAGUCAGUGGUUCUGGUGGCGCCUCCUCUUCGUGUAUAACUAUCUUCUCUCUCCACACCUGACUCGGUGCUACGGUCUCCUCAAGACAGUUCUGUUCAAGUUGUAUGUCUUCAUUCUUUACCACUUCUCCUUCGUAGUCUGCCCAUCCGUCCUUGAUGAUUUGCCUCCUUUGGUUUCGGUUGCGUCAUCUUCAGAGGGGAAGUGCAUGUGGACUUCUCCGGUUCCAAUGAUGGCUUUGAUGGUGUUGAGGAACGGUCUCCCAAGGAUGGUGAGUGGAUCGUACUCGUCUUCUCCCAUGUCAAUGACCUGAAAAUCAUCUGGAGGUGAAUAUAUAUCGGUUAUUGGGGCAUGGUUCCAUGCAGGAGCUGAUAAGUGACUACGGCCAUUAUGUUAUCGUCAGAUCUGGUGUCGUAGAGUGUCUUCUAAAAAGAGUAUCCAUUGAUUGUGCACUCGAUGCAUGGAACACCAGGGUCGUCCUUCUUGAUCAGGAGAGGCAACUUGAGUCGACGAUUUUAAGUCUUUUAGAUAAGACUUCUCACCGUCUUCAUCCUUUAGGUGCAUCAUUUGAUUAGGUGUGGACCUUGACGUCUGCACCUCUUGAUACGAAGUCACCCAUGUUCUUUGUUUGCACAGCAGUUCGAAGUAUGGUGUUGGCAAUAUCCUGCUCAGUGUGUUUGUGCUCGUAGAUCCAGGUCCUUCACUUGGAGUCUGGGAGUUGUAAAACUCCUCCAUGUUUUGUUUGAAGUGUACCUGUUCAUAGAGACAAGGCAGAGAUCAAGUGCAUGGGCCCUGUUGGUGGAAAACACCAACAGAACCAAAAGUGUAUUUGUUCUUCUCUAAUCCUUAAGCAUAGUGAGCAAGACAAAGUUGAUGGAUCAUGAGUGUAGCAUUUGUCAGAUCAGAUGGCUCAACCUAAUGGAAAGAUAAUCUAUCUAUAUUUAUGUUUUGUUUAUAUCUUCCAAAGAUUGAAUGUGCAACAUAUUAGCUUAUAUGAUUAGGAGUGUGGGAUCACAAAGGUAGUACUAAGAACAAAGAUUAAAGGACUAAACAUGUUGAAUUAAUUAGGUUGGUUAAUUUGGAGCUACAAAUCAUGCAUGUUUGUCUCUUUUAUUCAUGUAUAUGCCAGAACCAAGGAGAAGCUUAUAAAAGUGAUAGUCAAGUACCUUAAGGUGUUGCCUUACUUGAAGAGUGAUGGUAUAGUAUCACCUUCUAGAACCUUUCCUUUCUUAGUGGUUGUGCAUCGUGUUUGUGGCACCCUCCAUAGAUCAUCUCUUUAUGAUGAAUGAGCUAUGUCCUUCUCGUGCAAAUUGUUAAACUUCAUGUGUCUCCUUUAUCUCCAAUGAGUUUGUAUCUCAGGACUUCCUAGGUUGAUAUUGAAUGUUUUCCUGCAGGGGUUAGUCCGGUAAAAUAUACCAAUGCCUACUCAAGCAGUUUUUAGUUCAGUAACCAAACUAGACUCCAUGUCUAAUCAGAUUAAGGAAGGCUAUUUAACCUAAGCACCACGCUUAAUUUAAAAGCCAAUAGAAGUAUGUACAGUACGUUCAAACUAACACUUACUAAGAUAAACAUAGGUAGCAUGAUGCCUUUUAUAGAGAUCUACUCAAGUGGAGAUGAAGUAGUGUGAUUAGUAUGUCUCAAAGGUAUGGACAACCAACAUAGCAACAUGGCAAGUGAUGUUUUUAUGUGAAGUAUUUCCCCCAAGCUUGAAUUUUGCAUAAUUCAAGAUUGGAUGAAUUUAAUUCAAUGUUGCAUGAUGAUUGGUUGGGCAUACCUCGUGCUUGUCAUUCCUCGUAUCUUCUUGCUCCAAUCCUAGAAAGGUUAGUGACAAGAAUACCCGAAGGAAUAUUUUUACAAUUAUCCUUAUAUGCUCAAUACAUAAGGUAAUGUUGCAAUUAAUUAGAAGUUCAUGUCACGAUCUGAUAAGUGCUUGUUUUAUGACACUAAGCUUGUCCUUGGGAAACCAUCAAUCAACUCAACGAUAUCUGCAAUAUUUAUUAUAGACAUAUGCAUCGACAACCGCUCUUUUAAAGUUGUUAUAAAUAGAAAGGAAGAGAGGGUUGGAGAUCUCAAAUGUGGUGAUAGCACAUGGAUUUUUAAUGCCCUCUAGCCACUGAUGUUGCUCUUCUCGAUCCUCCUUAUGGUCUUGGUGACUCUUAUGCAUGGGAUGUCUAGAGAGAUUCAUAGGAUCAUCGGGAGGUUCAAGAGAAAGAGAAGAGUAGAAAUUAUUAGGCUCAAGGAUGGGUUUGAUAGCCGAAUCAUGGGAUUGAAAUGUUUGGAAAUCGGCUAUUGAAACUUCCUUUCCUUGUCUGGGAGCUGAUUCCUUCUUUAUCUCUAGGAAUUUUUUAUGAAGACUAGUGCAAGAAGGAUGUCCAUGAAUGAAGACAUACCUUGCUUUACUAACAGAUAAAGAAAGAAAACCUCUACCAAAGGUUAUAUGAUUAAGACCAAUGUGAAAAUAUCGAGAAAAAACAUGGUCUUGUAAGGCUAAGUCUAAACCAGAAUUUAUAGAAAGAUUAACAAAUUCCCUAGGUGUAGCUAAAAGUUCAUUAUCUUCUUGAUUAAAAGAUAGGACCUCAGCUAUAGAAAAGGGUUGGUUUUGACCUAUUGCAAUCAACUCCGGACACAGAUCAUAAUUAGGGGCAAAGAAAGGACUUGUUGACUCCCAUGGUCUAUGGCUGGUCUCCGAAGGUGCAAAAAAUUCAAUAAUAGGUGUGGAAUUUGAGUUAUCCAUAAAGAUAGAAAAAAUAAAAAGAUAAAAGAAUAGAAAAAUAAAAGUAUAAUACAAGAUAAUAGCAAGACUCAAAGUUUUCUCAGCAAACCAUCUUUCUCCCCGACAACGGCGCUAGAAAUGCUUGUUGAUAUUUGGUAACGCCAUCAGAAAAUGAUCCACAAGCGCACAGAUAUCGGUGAGCAUUUCACCCGGGAGGUUAUCUAGAGUAUCAUAUUUAUAUUUUUACCACUGGGAGAAAGCGUGCAUCUGACUAACCAAAUCUAUUGCUACUACCCUUUAGGCUACAAACAAUGUGAUUCGAUGUGAGCGAUGUAUAGAGAAGACUACAACCGCACUCUCGUUCUAACCUUGGUAAGGAUGAUCUACUAUUCUAUUGGGGAGGCUCAUGGAAUCUAGACACCACAGAGGAUGUUCGACCCGCACCUAUAAACCCUAUCGAUCCUUCUAGCCCAAACGCCAAGUUUACGCUAGCAAUGAUUACUCGCAGCUCUUUCGAGGGCACCUCUCAACUCUAUGAUGAUGUGUUCUCCUCCAAGGGCCAGGGGCCUUGCUUAUAUAGCCUCCUCCUUUGUGCCUUUUUGGUUCAGCAGGCGAUGUGGUACUAAACUUUCCACUAUAUCUCAUUAAAAUGCACAUAGGCCUUAAUUGACCAAAAUCUGAUUUGGGCCCAAUUAAUCCCGCAGCUCUUUUAUGUGGAGUCCUUCUUUUAUUAAUAUCUCUUGAUUCCGAACUCCAAAUAUUACAAAUAAUAUAUGCAUUUCAAUCAGCUCAACGAGAUCUUUGUAAUGGUGUACUCCAUUCUAUGAUUGGUGCUUGUACCAGGGCGGGUGCCCAAGGGGGAGGGCGGGUGCCCUGCCCCCAGGCCCGUUCGGCCUCCCGUUCGUUCCCGUGGCUUCUGGACUCUUCUAGAUGAUAUAAAAUUGCGCGGCACGUUAAUAUCUCUAUGCAAACCCGACGUGUGGUCUUUCCUUCAUAUUUCCUGAUAACCCCCUGCAGAAAUAGACAAACACCAAAACUCGUGGAAUUCUAUCAGAUAAAACCCUAAGUCUGGGUGUUGGUUGCAUUUGGAUCCUUUUCUUUAUUUAGUUGAUGACUAUAUUUGGUACUUAAGGACCGUCAACAACCAUCACUUGGGUUCAUGUGGCUACAGGACUGCUUUUCCUAAGUGGCAAAAGCUGGAACAGGAGAUUCUUGGGAGAGGGAUCGAACCAGAAUCAAUGCACUGGCCUGAGCGCGCCAAGUAUUGGUUCUUCGGUCAUGGGGGAACCAUAGACCUAAGACCGAAAAGAUAGUGUACGGCGAAAAGCUCGAGAGAGUAGGUCAGAGAAUGGCCUAUGCUAGAGGAUUAGUUGAAAGUGGCAUCUAGCAGCCAAAUAGAGAAAGGAUAAGCUGACAUACGCCCUGGAGACUACUGAACACGGUGGGCGAACAAGAGGCUAUGGGGAGGUAUCGUGGGAGCAUGGCUUCUCCAAAGAUAGACCGACUUAUAGAAGCCGCCAACGAAAGAAGGAAGAGGAAGCAGAGCGGUUGCGUAGGUUGGAGGCAAUGGUGAUGGAGUCACGUGAAGUGGCUCGUGAAGCGAUAGCGCGAGAGAAAGCGCUUGAAGAGAGAAUGAACGAGGAGAUCAAAAGACAAGUGCAGAUGGCAAUAAGUUCUAUAUAAGGGCAAACUGCAUCAGAGCCUAGAGUCAACAUUAGCCCCCCCGGUCAUUUGAAAAGCAGUUGCGCUUCCACGGAGAUGCCAACUAUUCAAGACGACGUGGGGCUGCACUUUCCGGUGGAUGACAUCACUGAACCUCUGACUACAUGUGAGCUGCACAUUCCAUAGGGGACUGCCACAGUCUUGGUUGCUGUCACUGUUGUAACUCCUGUCGACCCUACGAGGACACCAAGAAUCCAUGGGGCGAUAGGUCCACCUGAAUAUUCUAGUGUCUCGGUGGAUAGAGUUGUCAAAGGCUAAAGUAAUGUGCAGCUUGAGAUAGAAGGAGGUGAUGGAGAGAAGACUCUAGGAGGAGCAGAGAAGACUUUUAUUUGUUGGGGCAAGCGCUAUAUCAUUAUUCCUAGGGCAUCACCUAGUAGUUUACCACCACCUCCUCGUCAUGAAUCUAAUCCUAGGUGCGGAUGAAAAUUGACUAUACAUUUGUUCACUUACUUUAUUUUGCAUUCUCUUAGUUAGUGGUUUACUCAUAUACCUUUUGGUUUCACAGGUGGUCACCAACAUGUCAUAGUGCUGCGGGUGACGACGAGAGAGUGCAAGACACGGCUGCAUCGCCUCGGUCUCCAACGCCACCACCUCAGGCUCCAACGCCACCACCUAGGGCUCCAACACCGCCACCUCAGGCUCCAACACCGCCACCUCAGGCCCCAACACCGCCACCUAGGGCUCCAACGCCACCUGGGGCUCCAAUGCCGCCUCCUCGGGCUCCAACACCGCCACUUGCCAGCCCAUCGCCUCCACACGUGGCUCCAGCAUGAAAGAAGAGGCCGGCCACACAAUCAAAUGUGUCGUCCCGCCCGCCACCAAAAAAGAAAGCCUCCGAAAAGAAACAAGCUAUCAUUCCUAAGAAGCUGGCCUAUGAGAUGACUGAUGCAGAAAUAAAUGCUUCAGUAAAACAGACGUGGAUAGUUCCUUCAAGAAACUUAAGACUGAAAGAGAAGCCAAGCAAAACCCUAAGAAGCCAUACCUCUUACUACGGCCAGAAGAUCGACGACAAAGUGUUGAGGCUCAACAAAAAAGAGGCGUGAAGCUCAGAAAGAAUCAUCAUCUUUAUCGGACUAUGAUCGCACUUUAAGGAAAUCCAUAGAAGAAGAGAAGAAGAAAGAGAAAAGAGCAGGCAAGGGUGUAGCACAGCUCGGGGAACAAUCAAAGCAAUCAGUGCCCCCGCUAGUCAUUGGAAAUGAAUAUGGUUCAAACAUUGACGUGCUAGACCAGCAGAUACCGGCAGAUUUAAAAUUUGAUGAGCUUGAAAUUUUUUUUUGCGGAAACUGGUAUUAGCUUAGCCCAAAUGAUAGCUGGGGCACCAAUUGAAAGUGCUCUAGAAAUUGAUCAUUGGCAGAAGGAAUAUACAUAUGGCAAGAGUUUAUACAACCCUGCGGCCCUCAGCAAACUUGGAACAGAAAUGUACAUGCUAAACAAAUGGUACAUGGAAGCGUGUGUCAGAAAAGCAGAUGACUAUCUUUGUGUCCGAAUUAGAAACUAUCAUUACUUCCGUGGUGAUGAUAUUAUUUAUGUUCAAUUUAAUGAGCUACACCAACUAUGCCACAUGGACGCUCAUGACAAGUCUCUAAUGAGUUGCUUCUGUCUAUAAGUGAUUAUUUCUUUCAAUAAUGUCACUGUAACUUAUCAUGUAUAUAUAUAUAUAACUAAUUACAGAAACCCGCUAUACAUUGGCAGAAACAUGAUGAGGGACCUUAGAGUUAGAAAUGACAAGGAGAUUGGAUUUGUGGAUCCAAAUAUUGUGACCAGAAAACCCCGUAUGUCUUAUAGAGAACUCAAACGGAGAGAAAUCUACGGAGGAUCUUGAUCAACCAAAAAGAUAAAAGAUAUAUACUCUUUCCCUACAACUUUAAGUAAGUGUCGUUAUCGUGUGUACCUUCUAUUUAACUAAUUAAUCAGAUAAGUAUGAAGAUAUAUACUAAUUUUGCCUACAUGCACACAAAUGCAGCUUUCAUUGGAUACUAAUUGUCAUUGAUCUCUGGCAAUGUCAAUUGGUAAUCUAUGACUCGUUGAGAAAACCACAGGACGAUUACCAAAAAAUGAUAGAUAUUAUCCAAGGGUAACUCCGAUCUCUAUAUAUUAAAUUCUACUGUUUUAACUUGGUAAUAGAUAAUUAAUAAUGAUCGUUUUAUUGCUAGGGUUUGGGCUGGGUUCGUGCAGAAAUACCGUCCAGAGUUGAAUGCAGCACUUUCAAAGCCCAUCUUACUUCAGUGGGUUCUACGGUAGACACCGGGCAACAAUUUGUGUGGCUACUAUGUGUGCGAGUUUAUGACGGUCUAUGCCAAAAGAACUAAUCUUGAGCACUUAAAAGUAUGUAACAUGUAUAUAUAAUAAAUUUAUUUCAUUUAUUUGUUGCUAUUUAAUAAAUCCUAUUCAUACCUCUAACUUUUUUCUUUAAUGCCUAUUAAAGGAGAUGUGGCUGAAGGAGCAGGUGUUGGAUGCGGUGCGCCUACAAGGAAUUCUGGAGACAAUCGCAGGAUUUCUUAACGACUAAGUCCUGAAUCCCGGCGGCGAGUGCUACUUCAACCCUCCGGAGCCAAUGAAACCAAAUCACGAUGAUCAUUUGUAUGAUGCUUGAGUGGCGGAGAUAAAUUGUGUUGUAAAUACUUUGUCCGUGAAGCAUAUGUGUAAAUAUUAUAUUAUGGACCUAUAGAUACAUAUUAUAUAUAUAUAUAGUGUUUUAUAGUAUAUUUAUAUGUAAUGCUUUAAAUUAUAUAAAUUAUAGGUCCGCGUUCCAUAAACUACCAGCAAACAAUACGCAUUCGAAAAUAACAAUAACAUAAUUGUAAACCCUAAAUGGAAAACCAAAUGAAAAGAAAAAGAAAAAAGAAAAAAGUGUUUAGUCCCGGUUGGUAACAUCUGAGACUAAAAGUGGAGGCCAGGUGGCACACCCUGGCGCACCUUUUAGUCCCGAUUGUUGUUACCAACCGGGACUAAAGGUAGGCCUUUAGUCCUGGUCCGCGGAACCGGGACUAAAGGUGGGACAUUUAGUCCCAAAACCGUAGCCCCGGUUCCGUAGCCGCGACUAAAGGCCCUUACGGCCCGGGGCUAAAGCCCUUCCCUGUACUAGUGUAUUUAUCCUUGUCUGGUAGCUCUGCAGAAAUGACUUUGUCAUAAGCAUCUGGGGUUGUUAAGUUCCUGCCUUUCUUCAUUAUUAGUAGGAUGUGUUCAUGUGGAAGCCCCCUCUUUUGGAAUUCAGUGACAUGGACAUAUGCUGCCACCUCUCUAAAAUACCUUUUCUUGAUCAAUAAAUCCAUCAAGGACCGCAGCUUGGCCCUAUAUACUCUUGAAACGAGCUCUGGCCUAUCUUGUGGUUGUUGGCCAGGCUCAAGAUUCCGAGUAAUCUCGUCCCAGUAUGGAUUGCAAGUCAUGGUGAUGAAAUAAUCUGGUUUUCCAAAACGUUGCACUAUAGCCAUUGCAUUAAGAAAUCUUUGCAUCAUGUCACAGUCACCACCUGGGAAACUACGGGGUAGCACUACUCUCUUCCCAACCUCUGAAGCCCUUGUCUCUCCAGCAGAAAUUACAUCAACCAAACACUACGUAAAAUAUAAAUUAUAGAGCAUGUAAUAUUUAUUUAGUUUUGAAUUGUAAAAUAUUGCAUAACUCACCUGAUAUAGUUAUGCUCGUAUGAGUUUUUGGUUAUCAGGGUUAGAAUACCAAUCUAGCCCCAUAGACUCAAUCUUUACGUACAUGUCAACUACCCAUUGUUGGAAAAGUCAUCCUCUAAAUAGCAAUAUGUUAAAAAUCCCCUCUCUAACUUGCAUCAAAUAUCAAUAGUACUCUCUUGCUGUCACAAAUCUUUCAGAUUGUCGUUCCUCCACCAUGGUACUCAUGUUUUCACCUUGUUGUAUGUCCGCAUCAUCCUCACCUUGCUCUAUGUCACACCAAAAAUUAUAUAUAUAUAUAUUAAAUGUACCCAUGUGUGUUGCUUAUGCAUUGGAAAUCAAAUCAUGUUCGGUACCUGUUGGAUGUAAUGCUUCUCUUGGAUCAACCAAGGUGUGUUCUUCUCUAUCAGUCACUGUGUCAUUGUACGGCAUAAAUUUAUUCCAGCCAGUUUCCCCCUUAGGGUUUAAUAAUGGGUAUGCCAACAUCAUAGCAUCCAUGAUAUGCUUUGAUAUACCGCGGGCGAUCACCUCUAGCAUAGACAAGCACACUCCUAUCAAAACAUCUUUGGGGAUCAUUGCCAUCUGACCAGAUAGCUGCGACCUGUGACGCCGUGGGUGCAUUGUACCUUAUUUUCAGCAAAGUAAUAUAUAUAUAUAUAUAACAAAUAAAUCAAAUAUUUGUGUAGAAUAUAAAUAUUUAGAAAUACACGCACAAUUCUUAAACAUGCGUACCUUCGCUGGUCUGGUGUGACAUUAGUAUUGAGUUCAAUUACAUAGUCAUUAAGAUUCGGAAUAGCUCCGAUUCUGUUAAAGGUUUGUACAUAUGGGUUGCCUUCCAUUAUUCGCAGCACCUUUCUAAUAAGAUUGAUAUCUAGGUCUGGCGAUCUCUUCUUCCUGUGUGCUAAACUAUCAUCCUCAAUAUCAUAAAAGUAGAGUUGCAAGUGGCGAGCUCCUUUAGAACCUGGGACCAAAUGGUCUAGGUGAUGAUACAAGGCCCCAUGCACACGGAAUGUAUAUAUACCAGUCCCUGCCGCUGUGGCAACUCGUCGAUCCAAGGUUACUCCAAGGCUCGUGAAAGAGAAGUGAGAGUUGAAGUACCGGAUAUUUUGUCUGAAAUAUUUCGCAUCAUUAUCUACCUGACUUGUGAAUAACCUUUUAAGCUCAUCGGGCACUUGUGGAACAUGUACUUUUAUCUUUCCUUUCCUGCAACAGAAUCCAGGUGAUUCAUAUUGAAAUCUCAUUGCUCCACAGUACAAGCAGUUAGGCUCCUUUCUCAGAACAUGGUGCUUAUUAGGCAAAUUUUGGUAGACAUAAUCAUAAGGAUCUUCAUUGUUAUUCAGAUCAACACCAUUGCCACUGACACGAUAGGACUAAAAGGCACCAUCUGCAAAGAUAGUAAGAAUUGGUUGUCAUUACACAAGACUAAUAAUAUUAUUAUAUUAUUUAGGUAGAUAAAAGGCGCCACUCAAGAAACAGUUACCUUCACCAAUGUAUUGUCUGGCUUCAUCGUCAGCAAGAAGAUCAUCAAUAUCUAAGACAUGUGGUGCCUCCAGAUGCUCAUCAUCUGCAUGAUUUUUGCUUGAACAUUAGUUAUUAUCUAUAUCUUAUUAAUUAGGAAUAGACAAAAAUCAUAAUUUACUGAGGAUAUAGAAAUAGGACACACCUUCAUCAGAUUCAUUGUUUGUAGGCUCGAACAAAGCACUAUCAAAUUCUAUAUCACUGUGCUCGAUAAUUGGCUGAGCAGCCUGUUUACCGGCUGAAUGUGAUCUCAUAUUUAUACUAUAUUCCCUCUUUUUCGCAACAAUAUUUCUUUGCUGUUGUCAUCCAUAUUGCUGUACCUCUCUCUUUGUGCGAGGGCCUUUUUAAUAUUUGAGUUGCCAAUUGGUGAACAAUAGUUGCAAAACAUUAGCUAAGUUUUUUUUUGACAAGGAAACCAUACCUAUGUUGUCGUUUGUUAUUUCGCCUAAAGCAGUGCUUUUUUUUCCAAAUCUGCUUGCAAAUUGCAAUACUAAUAUUUGGCUUGAACAAUGACUUCGUCUAUCCAAUUUAACGGUGACAAACAAGAGAUAAUAAUAUAUUAAUAGUUGCCAUUUUAACAAGGACGCAACUAGUAAUAAAGUGUAAUAUGAUUGGACCAAUCACAAAUCAUACUAACAUGCUGCUGCACCUUUCAUCGGGAUGUCUGAACAACCAAUAAAUAAGAAAAGAACAGUACAGUUUGACUGCUAGCAGCGAUCAGCAGAGCACAUACUGCGUUGGAGCAUAGAGGUGGGGAAAAAAUAUUUAGAGAAAAAGCACAAGGACCCAAGUAGUAACCAUGGAUGUAUCACUGCAAUAUGAUUAGACCAAUCAUAAAUCAUACUAACCUGGUUGAACGCGCCGCCGCCUUUCAGUGAAUGCGUCCUGGUUGAAGGUGCCUCCGCCUCCGUUCGACGAACGAGUUGUGGUUGAGCGCGCAAGCACCACUGUGGACGCCCAAGAAGAGCGCCCCGCCACCGCCGACGUUUGACGACCGCGCCACCACCGCCGCCGCUCGACUAAUGCGCUGCUGCCCGCCCGCCGACCGACGAAUGCGCCGCUGCCCGCCGAUGUUGCACGAACGCGUCCUGGUUGAGCGUGCUUCCGUGGCCGUCGACGUUCGUGCGUCUGCUGCCGCUGACUGCGCCGCUGCCGCUGCCGUUCAGCGAACGCGCCGCCGCCGCUCGACGAAUGCGCUGCUGCCCGCCCGCCGACCGACGAAUGCGCCGCUGCCCGCCGAUGUUGGACGAACGCGUCCUGGUUGAGCGUGCUUCCGUGGCCGUCGGCGUUCGUGCGUCCACCGCCGCCGCCGUUCAACGAACGCGUCGCCGCCGCCACCGCUCGACGAAUGCAUUGCUGCCCGCCCCCGACCGACGAAUGCGCCGCUGCCGCCGAUGUUGGACGAACGCGUCCUGGUUGAGCGUGCUUCCGUGGCCGUCGGCGUUCGUGCGUCCGCUGCCGCUGCUUUGCCACUGCUUUGUCUCUGCCGUGUCCCCUGUUUCGUGUAUCACCGACCUCUCACAAUCUUGGAGUCAAAGCUCGGUGGACCGGGCAACUGAAACGACGGGAUUUGGGAGAUCGUGACUGGGCGAGCGAAGGAAUGCAAGCCUGGCCUGCAUGCCACGCAUGGGAGUUGUGCGGCAGGGGGAUGGAGGGCAGACACACUAAGAGCAUCUCCAAGGGCUUUGCAAAUAGACUUUGCAUUGACAUAUUUGAAAAAAAAACUAGAAAAUACCCCUCUAAUGGUUUUGCAAUUGAGGUUUCCAAUUUGGUAAACUUUGCAAAUAGAGGUUGAGCCUUUGCAUAUAUGCCAACCUCUUCCCCACUUUGCAUCCAGGAAUCGCGUCGGUCCACGUCGGACUCCUGGCGCGCGCGAGCUUCCCUUCCUCCUGGCGAGCGCGAUCUUUCUUCUGCCUGGCAUUCGCGAAGUCGAUCGUAUCGGCGAUCUCCGAUCCCCUUCGCACGGCAGGAGCCGGCCCGUUCGCGACGUCCAUCCGGCUAUCGGCGAUCUCCCCUUCGCGCGCCAGGAGCCCGUUCGCGAAGUCCAUCCGGCCUAUCGGCGAUCGCCAGGAGCCAAAGCAGACCGUCGCGAUCUGGACUUCGCGCGCGAACUCCAUCGUCUUGGCGCGGGGAUCGGUCCUCCAUCGUCCUGGCGCACGAAGAGGCUCUCCCUCCGCCGGCUGAAUACGUCUUCUCGCGUGCGAUCUCCCGUCCUCCAAGGUAUACUCCAUGCAUCCCAAUCUCUCUCCAACUCGGUUCCGAUAGCAGGCGGCCAUUGUUCGUAGGGUAUGAGGUUGGGCGAACGCAUGAAUUAUCGGAUACAUGUUCUGGCCAUGUUUAUUUCAUAUAAAGUUGUAAAAGUUUGCUGUAAUUUUUUGUAGAUCAAAUGGAUGGAAUUGGAUACUAUACGGGUAUUCUCACAUCAGAUUCUGAUGAUCAUAUUACUGGAUUAGAAGACUUGACCUUUCCAACGAUUCCACAAACCCAAGCAAAUACUUAUGAUAUUCCUCUUGAAUCGCAAGAUGAUGUUGUGGAAUUGCAGGCAACCAAAGUUGUUCCUCGCCGUCAUGGUGGCCAGUCUCAUAGGUCUAAAAAAUUUGAUAAAGAGGAAGAUAAAGUAAUAUGUGCAGCUUGGUUGCAAGUUAGCAAAGAUCCAAUUCACGGGGCCAAUCAAAGGCUUUCGACAUUUUGGGGUCGAGUUCAUGCAUUCUUUGAUGCAAACAAAAAAACUGACUCUGCCAGGACAGAGAAUUCACUUAUGCAUAGGUGGAUGACUAUUCAGAAGGAAGUGAACAAGUUCUGUUCGGCAUAUGAGAAGAUUGAGCGUAGGAAUGCUAGUGGAAAGACUAUCCAAGACAUGGUACACUUUCAUAGUUGGUUCUUUUUUUACCUUUUCAAUAUUUGGUUAAUUCUACACAUUUAAUCAUUUUUUAUAAUUUCACUUGUGCAGAUUAAUGAUGCAUUGGAGACGUAUACGGGAGACGACGAAGAACAUAAGUCAUUUGCUUUCAUGCAUUGNNNNNNNNNNNNNNNNNNNNNNNNNNNNNNNNNNNNNNNNNNNNNNNNNNNNNNNNNNNNNNNNNNNNNNNNNNNNNNNNNNNNNNNNNNNNNNNNNNNNUACAAAGCAGAAACCAGCCGCCAAAAAACAGAAGAGUACCAAGGACUCCACGCCGAGCGCAGGGGACGAAAAGAUCAAUGAUGAAGUGGUAGAGGUUGCAGACGCAGGAUCUGCAGAACGUAAGAGGCCACCAGGUCAGAAGUAGGCAAAACAAGCUAGAUGGGGAGGCAACGACGCUUGCAUUGCAGCCUUGGACAAGAUGAUGGAGAAGGAGGAGGCACGUGACAAGGAAAGAGAUAAGGCGAGAGAGGCUUCAUUAGAGGUAGAGAAAGCUUCAAUUGAGGCGGAGAAGAAACUUGCUGAAGCAACCCUGAUGAAGGAGGAGAAAGACAUAAUGCUAGCGGACACGAGCUCCCUCAACGCGGACCAGCUGCAGUGGAUUGAAAUAAUGAGGAAGAAGAUCCUUGCGAGACAUAUGGAAAAUUAGUUUUACUUUUAGCCUACAACUAUAUAUAUUAUAUAUUUGCUUUCAGUUGUGAUUCAGAGACCAUUUGCAUUUAGUCGUACUGGAAUUUACAAUAUUUGGAAUCAUUUAAAUAUUCGUCAUGGUGCUGUGCUGAAUUUUUGGAUUCGUUUAAAAGCGACGUGCAUGGUGCUGUGCUGAAUAUUCAUUUUUUUUCAUGGUGCUGUGCUGAAAGCAGCGUGCAUGGACAAUUCUUCAUUGGAUGCAACAGCUUCUAAAAUGAUAGUUGGCUUGUUCGUAUGCCCCUUGUACUGGCCCUGUGAUUGCAUUGCACAAUUCUUCCAUUCCCAAUGCAUACAAUCGAUGGACCCUAACAUGUCUGGAAAACCACUUUUCUCAUUGACCGCUAGCAAGCGUGCUAUGUCAGCCUCACUUGGGUAUCUCAGAUAUUCGGCUUCAAAUAUUUGUACAACUGCAGUAACGAACUUAUGUAGGCUCUCAAGUGCAGUGCUUUCGCCAAUGCGAAUGUACUCAUCUGUAGCAUCAGCAGAAACCCCAUAUGUGAGCAUACGAAGAGCGGCAGUGACUUUCUGGAAGCAACUCAGACCGAGCACACCUGCCGCAUCCCUUUUCUGCACAAAGUAAUGAUCAUGUGCUUCAACCGCAUUCAUGAUGCGUCGGAAAAGAGGCUUGCUCAUUCUGAAUCUGAACAAAACAAACAAAAGUUCAACACCUCGAAAAAUAGACAAAUACUAUGAAUUAAUGUAAUGUCAAAGAAUAUAACAACCUCCGACGGAAUAAAUCAUCUCCAUACGUUGGAUUAUCCGCCAAAUAAUCUUGAUACAUCCUCCGGUGGCCGCCUUCUCUAUCAUGAAAAAUAACAGCAUAGCCAGGGACCGAACCACCAUGUAUUCGUUUACUUUUAUGCAAAAACAUGCGCACAAUCGAAGCAGCAACGAAGAUGUUGUAGUCCUCGUCGUCCGAAGAAUCGUCAUCCAAUUGCUUUCGGAGACGUGAUCUAGAAGCCCUCAACUAAGAAAAAUUGCACAGCUCAUAAUAUAGAACAAAAUAAACAUGAUUUGGAUCUAGAUAUUCGUAUACGAAGAUGAAACCUUGCGAUGUGCCGUGCACCGAGGCUUGAUCUGUUGUCUGCCAACCUGGAUGCCAUCUGUGCCGUCCCUGGAUGAUCUUGUAACGAAGACGCAAGGAACUGGCAGGGAAUUUUGACCACGCGAGUGGCUUCCAGCGAUUAGUACGAUUUCCAAGCGAUCUGGCUUCCAGCGAUUUCCAGCGAGUGGCAGGCAGCCGCAUAGGAACUGACGGCGGCUCUGUUCCUCACGACGACGUGGGCGCGAAGAGAAGCCAGAACUGGCAGCAACCAAAUGAAUGGCGCGCCAAAACAGAAUUUUUUACGGAAAAAAAAUACGAGACUUGGCAAAAUGCAAAACGGUUGGAAAUCAUAUCUUUUACAACUUUACAAAUUUAUUUAGGACUUUGCAAAUUUCCUCAAAUGCAAAACUGAAAAUGCAUAACCCUUGGAGAUGCUGUAAGGCCUUGUUUAGCAGCCCAGCUUCCCAAGGGGAUCCUAGUCUUUUCCAUGGGCCAAUCUGGCCCGUGCCAGUCUUCCGCGGGACAAAAUUGUGGCCUCUUUGGCAGCCCACAAAGUCGAGGAUAGCAGCCCGUUUCCCUGUGUUCUCCGCGAGGAACCAAUCCACCACUCGUUUAGACCGGGAGAGAUUCCCCGUGCUUUCGCCUCCUCCGCUCCUCGCGUCUCCUGAUGCCACCCAAAUCAAAAAGCGGCGGCUGUGGCGGCUGUGGAGCCAGUAGCCGUCGAGGACCUCUUCACCUCGCUCCACCGCCACAUCGAGGCCAAUGCUUUCGAACAGGCCGUCAAGGUCAUCCACUCCAUGUCCUUCCCUCACGCGGUUCUGAGUCUCGUACCCUAACCCCGUUCGAAUCUGACUCGCACUCGUUCCGCAGUUCUCAAGACGGCGCCGGGGGAUGAGGAUGUGGUGCGAUGCAAAGCGGUGUGAUGCAUCAACGCCGACGGGAUCGGUAAGUUCCUCGUCAAGAUCCGCGCCGCCGAGCGCCUCCCGAUCGACCUCGGCUACUACGUACAAGGUGAUGCGACUUGUCCUCUCUUGCUCGCUCGCCCGAUGGGUCUGUUUGUUUUCUGGUUUUUAUCCUCUGGUUGUGGUUAGGAUGCGCGAGUGGUCAGAUCUGUAUGCUUUUAUAUCCUAUGAUAAAGUAAAUCGACCGUUUUGUGUUAUUUAAACGGAAAUUUCACUUUAUGAGCUUCUCCAAUGUAGUUUAUUGCUGAUGUUGGUCACUUUGUGUACUGAAAUUUGCUAUUGAGGUCAUGCGAUUCGGCAUAAUCAGUUGCAUUCAAUGUUUUAAAUAGCGGGCUAAGCCUCUUAGCGUCAGCCUCUCUAAAAGGCUAAAAAAAGCUAUAGCGUGCUAAUAGCGAGCUAAGCCAUUUAGCGGCUGAGCAAAAAAUUUGUCAAACAUCAUGUAAUUUUACACAUAAUAAAGAUGAAAACAUUAUGAAUACCAAUAUGGAUAGAUAUUUCAAAGUCUUACUAACAUAUUACAUCAAAGUUCAUAUAUGAUACAUCAAUAAUAACAUACAUAACAUGGUGACAUAUCUCUGCUAUUUGGGCCUCCAAGUUAUUUGGGCCGAUGGAAAUGAAGCCCAAGGCCAAAUAACGGCGCUAAACUAAUCCAAUUUAGCGAAAUUAGCGCGCUAUUAGCUGCUAAUAGCGGGAACAAUCAUUUAGCGCUAAAAUCUUCAUAGCUUAGCAGUUCUCUUCCAGAAACGUUAAAUAGCGCUAUAGCGUCCGCUAUAGCGCGCUAUUUAGAACAGGGGUUGCAAUGCAUGCUGCGGUUCUGAGCUCUGUCUAAACUUAUUCAAAUGUUAGGAGAAUGACAUCGAGGGGUGGGAAAGGGAGCAGAAAAUCAUGCAUGCUGUACUUGUGCAUUUCAAUUGCGAUGAUCAUCCCAGAUUUUUGUUAGCGGCAGUUCUGUUUUUUGGGAUUGUAGUUGAUUAAGUCACUAGGUACGUGCCCACACUGUUGGUCACCAUCCGUGUGAAGAAAGUUAUGUACUAAGAUAAGCCAUAUAUAUAUAUAUAUAUAUAUAUAUAUAUAUAUAUAUAUAUAUAUAUAUAUAUAUAUACAUACGGCAACGCUAUUCUACACCCUAGGUGUAGAAUAUUAUUCUACACCGCAUGUCAAAACUGAGCAGAAAAAAAAUACUCAGUAAUACUGAACAACGUUCAGUAUCAUCCAGUCGUACACCAGGACCGCGAAAUACUAAAUAAUACUAAAAUACGGGUGUUGAACAAUAUUGAAUUUUGUUCAGUAUAACACUUUGGUGUAGAAUAAUAUUCUACACCUAGGUAUAUACGGUAGCGCUAUUCUACACUCUAGGUGUAGAAUAUUAUUCUAGGUGUAGAAUAUUAUUCUACACCGCAAGUCAAAACUGAGUUGAAAAAAUACUGAGUAGUAUUGAACAGUGUUCAGUAUUAUCUAGUAGUACACUCAGGACCACAAAAUACUGAACAAUACUGAAACGCGAAUACUGAACGAUAAUGGAUUCUAUUCAGUAUAACACUUCGGUGUAGAAUAGUAUUCUACACCCACCUAGGGUGUAGAAUAGCACUUGUAUAUAUAUAGCGUUAUUCUACACCCCAGGUGUAGAAUAUUAUUCUACACCACAAAUCAAAACUGAGUAGAAAAAAUACUGAGCAGUACUAGAGUGUUCAGUAUCAACUUGCCCAACACUCAGGACCACGAAAUACUGAACAAUACUAAAACAUGAAUACUGAGUGAUACUGAAUUUUGCUCAGUAUAACAAUUUGGUGCAGAA
rnacentral:lncRNA from 1 species